rnacentral:tRNA from 1 species
UGGCUCAGACAGUAAAGCGUCUGCCUGCAAUGCAGGAGACCUGGGUUCGAUUCCUAG